CUGGGACCAGAAGGGUGAGGAAGGAGAGGCAAUGAGAGCCUUAGCCCUGAGACGGCUGGGCCACUGCAGACUCAUCAGACAAGGGCAAAAGCCAACAGAGGGUGCCAGGAGACGAGACAGAGUGCAGUUUCACACCCAACCAACAGGAGGUGCUCACAGGAGGAAUGAACAGCUGGAAUACUCCUAACUUUCUUGAAGAUGUGGUUGCCAAGCAACAGAAAUGCAGACUCUACUUCUAACCCUAGCUACUAACUAAUAUAUGAAACAUAUCUUAUUCUUAAAAUAAAAGUAAUAUGAAGUAAUGGAAACUGCCUUAAGUUAGCUAAAUUCAUACAACAAACUGGACAAAUAACUUCACAGGAAUUUUUAUCAAUUCUUAUUAAGUUUUCAAUAAAAAGGUGAUAACUUGCUUAUU